rnacentral:ribozyme from 1 species
CACCCUGCGGUCCAUCAAAGCUGCCGGUGGCCACACUGUCACUGUAGUAGGCACGGCAGCUCACUACAGAGAUCCAUUGCACAAUACGAUUAGCGGCAUGGGUUACCUAAUGGCAGAGGUGGGCACCGUGAUCCUGCCUGAGGAAUGCUGGGAUCAAAAACCGCUGAGAGAAG